rnacentral:sRNA from 1 species
AACAUCCAGGUCCGAAGUCGGGAGGCCC